rnacentral:rRNA from 1 species
UAUGUAGGGUGCAAGCGUUGUUCGGAUUUACUGGGCGUAAAGCGUGUGUAGGCGGCUUUGCAAGUCGGAUGUGAAAUCCCACGGCUCAACCGUGGAAGUGCAUCCGAAACGGCAUCGCUUGAGUCCCGGAGAGGAAGGUGGAAUGCUUGGUGUAGAGGUGAAAUUCGUAGAUAUCAAGCAGAACACCUGCGGCGAAGGCGGCCUUCUGGACGGUGACUGACGCUGAGACACGAAAGCGUGGGGAGCAAACAGG